rnacentral:rRNA from 1 species
UCUCCUGGAAACGGGUGGUAAUGCCGGAUGCUCCGGUUGGAUGCAUGUCCUUCCGGGAAAGAUUCCAUCGGUAUGGGAUGGGGUCGCGUCCUAUCAGCUUGAUGGCGGGGUAACGGCCCACCAUGGCUUCGACGGGUAGCCGGCCUGAGAGGGCGACCGGCCACAUUGGGACUGAGAUACGGCCCAGACUCCUACGGGAGGCAGCAGUGGGGAAUAUUGCACAAUGGGCGCAAGCCUGAUGCAGCGACGCCGCGUGCGGGAUGGAGGCCUUCGGGUUGUAAACCGCUUUUGAUCGGGAGCAAGCCCUUCGGGGUGAGUGUACCCUUCGAAUAAGCACCGGCUAACUACGUGCCAGCAGCCGCGGUAAUACGUAGGGUGCAAGCGUUAUCCGGAAUUAUUGGGCGUAAAGGGCUCGUAGGCGGUUCGUCGCGUCCGGUGUGAAAGCCCAUCGCUUAACGGUGGGUCUGCGCCGGGUACGGGCGGGCUGGAGUGCGGUAGGGGAGACUGGAAUUCCCGGUGUAACGGUGGAAUGUGUAGAUAUCGGGAAGAACACCA